CGGUCGCCUUGGCCGCCUUUGGUCCAAAAUUGCAGAGCGUUGAGGAGCUCUGCGUGACAAGUUCAACACAAUUCGGUGCUGCCGUCGUCGCCUCAGCGUUGUCGUUGUAGAGCUGACUCGCAGCCGUUACGCUUGGCUGCACCAAGUCUUCCCCAUGCUCCGUAUGCUGUGCCAAACAAGCUAUUUGUGAGGAGUUUCUGUGUGUUCAAGGAAAACCUCGGUUGUCAUCCCUGUCGUUGCUGAGACAUGGAGAGAGCUCGCCUGUCUUACAAUGUGUGCAGCCAGGAGCACGUCAAUUUAAGCGUGAUUCGGAAUUGACCGAAAGUCUGAAGUGACGUAAGAGAGAUUGUCAGUGCUUGUGAGCGCAAUAAUGUGAGAUAAUAAAUUGGUUCAGCGUGGGUACGUUAAUGAAGGAAUAUAAUUGGAAGGAAAGCCGGAUGGUAACGACACAAUUUUCCAGAUCGUGCUAUGCACGUGAUUCCCCUGCCAGAUGGUUGAUCAGUGGCGUUACGGUGGUCGUGAGGGAAAGAAGAGUAGAAGGGAUCUCCGGACUAUUGCAUUGUUAUCGUGAACAGUCUUGUCCGUUUGAGCUUCGACUCUUCGUCGUUUUUUUGUAGACUCUCGCCGCUCUUCCUCUUGCUCAAAUGAGGGCGAAGCAUUACAUUCUGUCGUAAUAGUCGAUACUCUCCUUGAAGAUUUCGAAUAAAGCCCGUCGGACAGGCUGAAAGCAUGAUGGUUGCAAAAAGCUUGGCAGGACUAAAUAGUUUUAUUGGUCGUUUGAUUUCUGGUGGUGCUCGUGCAAUGGGUGAACAUCCUGCUCCGACCGAUUGCACCAAGAUAUUACCUAGUGGGUGUCGACAGCACAUCCAGGUUUUGGAUUGCGCGAGGCCAUUGAUCUUGCUCGCGCUCACGGUUGUGUUUCUUGCUUUGCCAACGACCUGCGGUGGCUUCUCCACCUCGACUCACCAGUGUUCAAGGAAAACAGGUUUCCGAUUGGCACAACCAUGGUUGAAUCGCAAGCGAAUCACCGAAGCAGAUGAGGGUAUGGUGGCAGCUGAUGACGAGAGGUGCUCUCAUAUUGGUCGCGAUGCGUUACGUGCUGGUGGAAACGCCGUGGAUGCCGCCGUAGCGACAUCCCUGUGCCUAGGAGUCGUCAAUCCAGUGGCAAGUGGGCUUGGUGGAGGUGCAUUCUUGCUGCUGCGACUGUGGAAUGGAACUGCGAUGGCCUAUGACAUGCGAGAAACUGCGCCCGCAGCAGCCCGCGAGGACAUGUAUACUGAAGAUCCUUCCCUGAAGGUUAAGGGAGGUUUAUCAGCAGGCGUUCCGGGUGAGUUGGCUGGUCUUCACUUAGUUUGGUCCAGCCAUGGCGUUUUACAAUGGCCGGCACUCGUGGCUCCAGCUAUUGUUCUUGCAGAAAAAGGGUUUGUUGUACAGCCUUACCUUGCACACUACAUUAAUAUGUUCAUAGAUGGUAUCCUUGCUGACCAAGGAUUACGUGAAACAUUCACCCUCAACGGAAAACCCCUAGUUGCCGGAGACAUCUGUUACCGUAAAAACCUGGCCAACACAUUGAAAGAAGUCGCAAAGCAUGGAUCAGCGGCAUUUUAUUCUGGUCCAGUUGCGGAGAAUUUCAUUAAAGAUGUACGAGCAGCUGGUUCAAUAUUGACCAUGGAGGACCUUCGGGAUUAUAAAGUGGCAAUUCGAAAACCCGUGGUUGCUGAUACCAUGGGCUUUACUGUGAUAAGCAUGCCGCCUCCUUCAUCCGGUGGAGCAUCAUUGGUUCUCAUCUUAAACAUCAUAGCCAAAUACGGGUAUACUGCAGCGUUGAAAGGGCUGGUGGGAUUGCACCGACUCAUUGAAACUUUCAAGCACACGUAUGCAGUGCGAAUGAACUUGGGCGACCCGGAUUUCGUCGAUGUGAACUCGGUAGUGGCAGAUAUGCUGAACCCAAGUUUCGCUGGAAAACUUCAGAGUCGAAUUGUUGAUAAUACCACUUUCCCGCCGGAAUACUACGGAAACAGAUGGCGUCAACUUGAAGAUCACGGAACGAGCCACUUCAGCAUAGUAGAUCCGCAUCGCAAUGCUGUCGCCAUGACCACCACUAUCAACUACCCUUUUGGUGCUCUUAUGUUGUCUCCGUCAACUGGAGUAAUACUCAACAAUGAAAUGGACGAUUUCGCAAUCCCAACUUCUCAACCCCCCGGGUAUCUGCCUCCUCCCCCGCAGAACUUUGUGAGACCGGGCAAGCGUCCUCUGUCGUCCAUGACUCCGACCAUUGUCCUCAAGGAUGGACGGUUAUAUGGGGUGUUGGGCGGAAGCGGCGGCAACAAAAUCAUAACAACUGUGGCACAGGUUUUUAUCAACCAAUUUGUGAAGAAACUGGAUCCACUAACAUCGGUUGCAACCACACGCGUGCACCAUCAGUUAGUUCCGAACGUCAUACACUAUGAGAACUGGACUCUGGUGACGGGGAAGCACGUAGAGCUUGGGGAAAUAACUCGACGGGGAUUGGAAUCCAAGGGCCACAUCCUGGAAGCUCACACUUCUGGCGCUGUAUGUCAACUCGUUGUUCAAGACUUGAAGACUCCCAUAAGGAUGUCCUUGUUCAAAAUGGGCUGGUUGAGAGGACCACGAUACUCCUCCCGUGGUAAACUGAUUGGUGUUAGUGAUGAGAGAAAAGAUGGAGCACCUGCAGGUCUUUAGACUUUUCCAACAGCGAUUGCCCGAAGAUGAACAACACAUCAAGAGUGUACAGACAUGCUCAAACUUACAAUCUUCAUCACUCAUUGGCUGCGAUGCCUGGUUACGAUUUAUUGUCAACUACGAUCAAAAUUCACAAAGCAAUGAUUCAGAAGGCUCAGUGGUGGUAAAGAACGCCCUUAUUUCCACCCAAUGUAAGGGAGGGCACCAAACCAGCAGAGCAGCAUUGAUUUCCUGUAAACCAGGUUGGAGACAUAGUGUGCUGUGAAAUUUUUGUUCAUCAUCUCCAUCACGUCUUGCAAUUCACAGUGCGUACAUACUUGAGGUAAAAAAAAAGUAUGGAAAGUCUGUGAGUCAUCUCCGUGAUUCAACAAGGGCAAUGGCAAUGUUGGUGUCCUUGUUGGUCACAGGUCUCUGUGUUAUCGCCAUAAAAAACAAGUAUUUCUGCUGCCGAAGUGUGAAAUCACUCACACAACCUAUGUAACCCAACUUCGCAUUCCAUGUCUUACCUGUUGAAAAUUUGAUAUUUAGAAUCAUCUCAAAUGGGAUGCAGGUCUUGGAUUGUUCUAAAUUUCAAGCAGGAUUUGUCUACCAUUUGAGUAUC